AUGAACGCUGGCGGCGUGCCUCAUACAUGCAAGUCGCGCGAACGGACGAGAAGCUUGCUUUUCUGAUGUUAGCGGCGGACGGGUGAGUAACACGUGGAUAACCUACCCAUAAGACUGGGAUAACUUCGGGAAACCGGAGCUAAUACCGGAUAAUAUUUUGAACCGCAUGGUUCAAAAGUGAAAGACGGUCUUGCUGUCACUUAUAGAUGGAUCCGCGCUGCAUUAGCUAGUUGGUAAGGUAACGGCUUACCAAGGCAACGAUGCAUAGCCGACCUGAGAGGGUGAUCGGCCACACUGGAACUGAGACACGGUCCAGACUCCUACGGGAGGCAGCAGUAGGGAAUCUUCCGCAAUGGGCGAAAGCCUGACGGAGCAACGCCGCGUGAGUGAUGAAGGUCUUCGGAUCGUAAAACUCUGUUAUUAGGGAAGAACAUAUGUGUAAGUAACUGUGCACAUCUUGACGGUACCUAAUCAGAAAGCCACGGCUAACUACGUG
rnacentral:rRNA from 1 species